CCCUUAGAUGUCCUGGGCCGCACGCGCGCUACACUGACACACGCAACGAGUUUUGCUUGUCCGAAAGGUCUGGCUAAUCUUUUAAAUGUGUGUCGUGAUAGGGAUAGAUUAUUGCAAUUAUUAAUCUUGAACGAGGAAUUCCUAGUAAACGCAAGUCAUCAGCUUGUAUUGAUUACGUCCCUGCCCUUUGUACACACCGCCCGUCGCACCUACCGAUUGAAUGACUCGGUGAAAUCCCCGGACUGCAGCCUUGACACCCUCGGGUGACUCGGCAGUGGAAAGCGGAUUAAACCUCGCCAUUUAGAGGAAGGUGAAGUCGUAACA
rnacentral:rRNA from 1 species